UCUGAGGUGGAAGUGUGGCGACACAUGGAGCUGACAGAUACUAAUCGAUCGAGGACUUAACCUAA
rnacentral:rRNA from 1 species